rnacentral:lncRNA from 1 species
CGGCGCAAGUAGAUUUUUGCACCAACAUAUUGUAUCUCAUACAAUUUUUUGUUUGCAGAAUCGAGUCGACUCGCCCUGGUACUCGAGUUGACUUGUCACAGUGAAUCGGUUCGACUCUGAGACUGAGUUGACUCACCUGUGACGAACAGAAAUCUAUAGACCACGGUCUGCAGAAUUUAGUCGGCUCAUCUGCAAACAAGUCGAUCUGCUAAGAUCUCGAAUCGACUCCAACAAAAAAGAGUUGACUCGCCAAGCACUCGAGUCGAUCUGAACAAAAAUCGAGUCGACUCCACGGGCGUGCCAGCCACAGUUUUAAGAUUUUAUGCAAAAAGAAUCUAGGGUUUUGCAGAAAUUAAAUUUCAGAUCAUGUGUCAAAAAAUAAUAUAUCAGAUAUAUCAUUUAUUGAUCUAAAACACAUAAAAAUACAUGUGUAAUUAGGUCCAAAACAUGUAUCACAUACAAUUUUCCGUUCGCGGUUCUUCUUCAUGAGAAACAUCAUAAUCAGCACCUCUACACGUCAUAAGAGAAUCUAUCGAAUGGACAAAAGAAGAACUUUAAUCCCUGCUUCCUCUUAUGACCGGACGGCCAUGGUGAUUAUCUCAAUCUGAUUACUAGGUUACUAAGAUAUUAAUCUAACAUAUCACAUAUGUAAUCAAUUAAAAUUCAGAUCUAAUUAUCUUUCACAUGACACAC